rnacentral:rRNA from 1 species
AGGGUGACAGGUGGUGCAUGGUUGUCGUCAGCUCGUGUCGUGAGAUGUUGGGUUAAGUCCCGCAACGAGCGCAACCCUCGACCUUUAGUUGCCAGCAUUCAGUUGGGCACUCUAAGGUGACUGCCGGCUAAAGUCGGAGAAGGUGGGGAUGACGUCAAAUCAUCAUCGCCCCUUAUGACCUGGGCUACACACGUGCUACAAUGGGCGGUAACGAAAGGGUCGCCGAACCCGCGAGGGGGAGCCAAUCCCAAAAAGCCGCUCUCAGUUCGGAUUGCAGGCUGCAACUCGCCUGCAUGAAGCCGGAAUCGCUAGUAAUCGCGGAUCAGCAUGCCGCGGUGAAUACGUUCCCGGGCCUU